rnacentral:rRNA from 1 species
GACGAACGCUGGCGGCGUGCUUAACACAUGCAAGUCGAACGGAAAGGCCCUGCUUUUGUGGGGUGCUCGAGUGGCGAACGGGUGAGUAACACGUGAGUAACCUGCCCUUGACUUUGGGAUAACUUCAGGAAACUGGGGCUAAUACCGGAUAGGAGCUCCUGCUGCAUGGUGGGGGUUGGAAAGUUUCGGCGGGUGGGGAUGGACUCGCGGCUUAUCAGCUUGUUGGUGGGGUAGUGGCUUACCAAGGCUUUGACGGGUAGCCGGCCUGGGAGGGUGACCGGCCACAUUGGGACUGAGAUACGCACCAGACUGCUACGGGAGGCAGCAGUGGGGAAUAUUGCACAGUGGGCGGAAGCCUGAUGCAGCAACGCCGCGUGCGGGAUGACGGCCUUCGGGUUGUAAACCGCUUUCGCCUGUGACGAAGCGUGAGUGACGGUAAUGGGUAAAGAAGCACCGGCUAACUACGUG